rnacentral:rRNA from 1 species
CCUACGGGAGACAGCAGUAGGGAAUCUUCCACAAUGGGCGAAAGCCUGAUGCAGCAACGCCGCGUGGGUGAAGAAGGUCUUCGGAUCGUAAAACCCUGUUGUUAGAGAAGAAAGUGCGUGAGAGUAACUGUUCACGUUUCGACGGUAUCUAACCAGAAAGCCCCGGCUAACUACGUGCCAGCAGCCGCGGUAAUACUUAGGUGGCAAGCGUUAUCCGGAUUUAUUGGGCGUAAAGGGAACGCAGGCGGUCUUUUCAGUCUGAUGGGAAAGCUUUCGGUUUAAACGGAGUAGUGCAUUGGAAACUGGGAGACUUGAGUGCAGAAGAGGAGAGUGGAACUCCAUGUGUAGCGGUGAAAUGCGUAGAUAUAUGGAAGAACACCAGUGGCGAAAGCGGCUCUCUGGUCUGUAACUGACGCUGAGGUUCGAAAGCGUGGGUAGCAAACAGGAUUAGAUACCCGAGUAGUC